rnacentral:rRNA from 1 species
GAUGAACGCUGGCGGCGUGCCUAAUACAUGCAAGUCGAGCGAACAGAUAAGGAGCUUGCUCCUUUGACGUUAGCGGCGGACGGGUGAGUAACACGUGGGUAACCUACCUAUAAGACUGGGAUAACUUCGGGAAACCGGAGCUAAUACCGGAUAACAUUUGGAACCGCAUGGUUCUAAAGUGAAAGAUGGUUUUGCUAUCACUUAUAGAUGGACCCGCGCCGUAUUAGCUAGUUGGUAAGGUAACGGCUUACCAAGGCAACGAUACGUAGCCGACCUGAGAGGGUGAUCGGCAACACUGGAACUGAGAAACGGUCCAGACUCCUACGGGAGGCAGCAGUAGGGAAUCUUCCGCAAUGGGCGAAAGCCUGACGGAGCAACGCCGCGUGAGUGAUGAAGGGUUUCGGCUCGUAAAACUCUGUUAUUAGGGAAGAACAAAUGUGUAAGUAACUGUGCACGUCUUGACGGUACCUAAUCAGAAAGCCACGGCUAACUACGUG